CCCAAUCUGUACAAUCUCACCUCAUGUUAUUGAUUGUUUCCUUUGCUGAGAAAAAGCCUUUUAAUUUGAAUCCAUCCCAUUUAUUGAUCCUUGAUUUUACUUCUUGGACUUUAGGGAUCAUAUUAAGAAAUUCAGAACCUAGGCCAACAUGGUGAAGAUUUGGCCUUACUUUUUCUUCUAUUAGGCACGGGAUCUGUGUUCUAGUGCCUAAGUCUUUGAUCCACUUUGAGUUGAUUUUUGUGCAGGGUGAGAGAUAGAGAUUUAGUUUCAUUUUGCUACAUAUGGAUUUCCAGUUUUGCCAGCACCACUUGUUUUUGGCACCUUUGUCUAGUAUGAGAUAACCAUAUUUGUGUGGGUUUGUCUCUGUGUCUACCAUUCUGUACCAUUGGUCUACAAGUCUAUUUUGGUGUCAAUACUGUGCCAUUUUUGUUACUAUAGCUCUGUAGUAUAGUUUAAGCUCUGGUAUUAUGAUGCCUCCUGCUUUACUUUGCUUGCUAAGGAUUGCCUUCACCAUUCUGGGUCUCUUAUUUUUCCAAAUAAAUUUCAUGACUCCUUUUUCAAUUUCAAUGAAGAAUGUCAUUGGGAAUUUAACUAGAAUUGCAUUAAAUAUGUAUAAUGCUUUUGGUAGUAUGGACAUUUUGAUAAUAUUGAUUCUGCCUAUCCAGAAGCAUGGGAGAUCUUUCCAUCUUCUGAGGUUUUUUCCAAUUCCUUUCAUUUGUAUUCUGUAGUUUUCAUUGUUUAGGUCUUUCACCUCUUUUGUUAGGUUGAUUCCUAGCUACUUUAUUUUAUUUGAGGCUAUUGUGAAUGGAGUAGUUUUUCUAAUUUCUCUUUCAGUGGAUUCACUGCUGAUGUAUAGGAAUGCAUUUGAUUUAUGGGUGUUGAUUUUAUGUCCUGCUCCUUUGAUGAAUUCAUUUAUUAGUUCUAGAAGUUUCCUGUUGGAAAAUUUUUUGGAUCUUCUAGAUAUAGAAUCAUGUCAUCAGCAAAUAGUGAUAUUUUGAGUUCUUCUUUAACUAUUUGUAUUUCUUUAUUUUUUUUUUCUUUUCUCUAGUGGCUCUUGAUAGAGUUUCGAGGAUGAUGAUGAGUAGAAGUGGUGAAAGAGGACAUCCUUGCCUUGUUCCAGUCUUUAGCAGGAAUGUUUUCAGU
rnacentral:lncRNA from 1 species